AUUAUCUGGUUUUGGCUGUAGGAUAAUCAACGUAUCGUCUUGUACGCAUUGGUUUGGCAAUAUAAAUUUUGAUGAUAUUAAUUUGGAAAAGUCUUAUGGACCAUGGAAAGCCUAUACACAGAGUAAACUGGCGAAUAUUCUAUUUACUAAAGAACUCGCGCGUCAAUUAGCAAGUCCUUGAAUAAGUUCUCGCUGUUUCUUAAAAGAUGGCGU